GUGUUUUUAAAGUGGACUUUUUAAAUUUUGGAUAAAAAGAUGGGUUGAUGGUGUAAACAAGUCUGACAAAUUCUCAUUCUCGUCAGGCUUUGGUUUCGAGUCCACUCCAUACUUUCAACUUCUUCUUCAUCGUUAUCAUCAUAUUCAUGGCCGGAGAGGAGUCAAAGAAACUGAAGCUCUACUCGGACUGGCUGAGCUCUUGCGCUUGCCGCGUUCGCAUUGGUCUCAACUUGAAAGGAUUAGAGUACGAGUACGUGCCAGUGAACUUGCUGAAAGGAGAACAACAGACUCCUGAGUUUUUGAAGCUUAACCCUGUUGGGUUUGUGCCCGUGCUGGUCGAUGGUGAUGUAGUACUUGCAGACUCUUUUGCCAUCUUGAUGUAUCUUGAAGAAAAGUUUCCUCAGCAUUCCUUGUUACCUAAGGAUCUUUAUGGAAGGGGUAUCAACUACCAGGCUGCGAGUAUCGUUUGCUCAAGUAUUCAGCCUUACCAGAACAUAACUAUUCUUAAAUUUAUGAAAGAAAAAUUGGGUCCUGAUGCAGAUGUUGCUUGGGCUCGAGAUCAAAUUCGAAGAGGCUUUGCUGCUCUUGAGAAACUGUUGAAAGAUUAUUCUGGGAAGUAUGCUACCGGGGACGAAGUUUUUCUGGCUGAUUUAUUUCUGGCACCGCAGAUUGAUGGUGCCAUUAGAAGAUUCAAGGUUGACAUGGAUGAGUUUCCUCUUCUGGCGAGGAUUUUCAAGGCAUAUUUAGAGCUACCUGCAUUUCGGGAUGCUAUGCCAGGAAGGCAACCUGAUACACCAGCUGAGCAUCGAGACUGAGGAAGAGAGACAGAGAACUAACUUGACUGGUGAUCCGGUGGUCGCAUGUUAGCUUUUCAGUGCAUCUGAUAUCACUUGCUGUUCUUCAUCAGGUAUUCAAUAUGAAAUCCCGGCUUUUUCUUCUAAAUGGCAUGGCAAACAUGGGGUGGUGGAAACAGGAAAUCACGAAAGCAGGAUAAAUAAGUGAUGACCAAUAUCCACUGAUGUCUAUACUCUGUAGACCAUUUCUUUGUACAAAUGUUACUCGUCCAUGUUUGUUUAUUUCCCAUGGCGGACUUGCUUCAUUUCCAAAGAAGAGGUGAACUGACUUCGUCCCAGGAUGAAGCAGUACCUUUGUAAGCAAUACUACUGUGUUUAACUUGUCACUUAGCAUGUCGUCUUCGACCUGAUAAACCAAGUAAAGCAAAUCAAUGUUUUUUGUUUUUA